rnacentral:lncRNA from 1 species
UUUUUUUUUUGAGUAAUUUGGAUUGCUUACCACACGUGACACAUCGUGGAUUAUCUUCCUUUGAAAGAAAGAAAGGGAGAAACUAAUUGUCACAUGAACAUAAGUUAGAUAAGCAUGCUAACCAUACAUUCCUACUUCAAAAUCUAGUAACUCAACCUUUUGUACAGUAACACCAGAAAGACAAGAAAAUGUGAAAUGGGUCAUCAGACUACGUAUAUAUGGACCCUCAUGAUCUACUACCUUUUGUACGUACUUGACACAAACAUCUGCUCAUACGAAGUUAUGAAUCCGAGAAGCAAAACCAUCAGAAAGAGAUUUGGCAUUACAGCUGUCGGUAGCAGAAAAGGCAUUUAAUUAUAAUUGAAGGGGUUUAUUAGUAUGUCUUUGCAGUAGUACAAGUAAUAGUGCGUUUUAAAAGCACGCAGAGUACGUACGACUCUGGAUUUGCAGACCCUGGGUUAAAGAUCGAUCACUAUGCAUAAGGAUAUGCACCUGAUGUUAUUAUCCAGGGUGACUCGCGGCUAUAUCCAAUCCACCAAUAUUUCAGUUGAGUAUGAUAUGUAUAUAGUAUGAGCAGGCCCGUCAGAAAAAGAAAAGGAGCCGAGAGAUGCAUGCAUUAAAUUCAGCAUGCAUGCAAGCAAUAAGUACGUACGUGCGUGCGCAUGCAAUCUAAACAAAUUAAGCCAAAAGGGGUUCAAGUGCCACAAACUGAGAAGCGCUGAUGUUGCUAAAGAAAUGUUGAAACUAGGAUUAAACAUCAUACACAAGCAAGUUGUGUACAAUCUGUUAAUACUCUUGUUAAUUCUAGCAGUGUAUCCACAUGUGUAUGAUUGAGUAGCAUGCAUAUUCAAUGAACUGCUGAAUAUAAAGUCUUGCUGUUGCCACAUUAUAACACUUUAAUUAUACAACAAUUUAAUGAGGCCGUAAUCUAGGAACAGCAUCCAUGCAAAAAAAAAGGGAACAGUACUAUACAAGUUUUUUUUCGGGUAACAGUACUAUAGAAGUUACAUGCACACAAUAGAUUCAAAUGCAUAAAUCACCAAUAUUCACAAAAUAAAUGACAAAAGGAUGAUAACAUAAUAUGACCUCUCUCCAAAUUCUAAUGCAUUUUGGAUAUUUCAAUAUGGACUACAUACAGACUAAAAUGAAUGAACAAAUACACUAAAACACGUCUGUAUACAUCCGAUUUCGAAAAAAUAAGGUUAGAACAUCUUAUAAUUCAGAACAUAUGGAGUACUAUAUAGUUCAUAAAUGACUCCCUAGCUAAUUUUUUUGUGAAUGACUCGCUAGCUAAUUGAAUGGACUAACUAUUAUUUUUAAUCCAACACUACGCAGAAAAUAUGGAAAGCACUAAUAUAUUAUUUUGAGAUAGUUCAAAAUUACAAUUGUAAGUUUGAAUUCUCAAACGCUCCCUUGACACAUAUUAGUGGACUAAUAUAAUGAACUGAAAAUAUUGAUGGAAUCAUUUUAGAGAACUUGAGAAGGCGAAGUGAUAUGCAGAUCACAUCCGGCCAGUGCAGUUUACUCUUCUAGGUAUAUACACAUAUAAACAGAGGCGAAAAUGAUAUCAACAUGAUAUAUUGUUGCUUUUUCAGUUGUUACUAUAAGUAGGUUAGGUGCACAAUUGUAAGUUUACUGGAAAAUUGAAAAUCAUAGUGGACUUUUUCAUUUGUUACUAUAAGUAAAAGAUAUAUAGUAAGAGACAGGGCGAAAAUAAAUUUUCCUAUAUAUGCAUGAAACUGACAUGCAAGCACUUUUUUGCCAAGAAUCUAAAUCCAAAUCAGAAUACCUUUUAUAUACUCCUACAUGCACACAAAACCCAACCUAAUUAAAUGCCCUCCAUUUCAAGUGCCUUCUAGCUAGCACACACAUUGCUUACCUUCUUCUUCCCAAAUUUAUCUCCCUUUCCUUUACAUGGUACACUCACGUAGCAGCAGCGUGAACAUUGCUAGCAUCAAAAUACGGAUCCAAAAAUGGCUACGAGACAUGCAGGAAAGAACAAGCAUAUGUAAACAGCCGUAUUUUUACCCCUCGCCGUCUAUCUGCAAACGUGGGCAUAAAAGUUUCUGAUCACAGAAACAUGAUAACGCUAACUUGCAUGAGUGGCACUGCAUGCGGGAAUCCUACGAUGGAUCGAUCCUUCACAAAUAAGACAGCCCUCUCCCAAAAUGCACAGAAUUCAAAGAUCUGAUCAUGCGCUCGCUCGCGCAUCCACAAGAGGGAGCGCGAAUUAAAGCUCGCUAGCUAAAGCUGCUGCACAUGACCAAAAGUGAGACAUCCAUCCAUGCACUAAAAGUGAAGUAACUAUAGCUAGCAAGUUGAUAGAAUGCGUGCAUAUAGUAUUCAUUCUUACUUACACACACAUAUAUGGGGACUUGUAUGAACCAUCAUCAGGACAACAGUACCAGUUUAAUUCCUCAUAACUCACAAUGUCAUCACUGGUACAACAGAGUUUGAACAAAAGAUAACCCCAAGAAAAAUGAAAGAAAUCCACUCUAGAAGAGAGAGAAAGAGAGAAAGGAAGAAGAAACCCUUUAAAAAGGUGACCAAUGCUUGAGAACUCAAAAACAGUUCUCUAAUUAAGCUUCCACGAGAGGAGUACUAGUAUUAACUUAUACAUCUAACGAGAGUUGGCAAAUUGGAGUAACCAAUUAAACACACUAAUUAAAAUGCCAAGAUGAGAGAGAAAGCUAGAGAGAGAGAGGCUCAUUACUUGCACCACCAUUGCUGCUGCAUGCUAUUGCUAGCUAGCUCUCAUAUAUCCUCCCCACACCUACACCAUAUGCCUUAUAUACAAAACACCCAAGGAGAGGGAGAAGCAGCAAAUCAAGCAGUAUAGCCAGGAGUGUCUAGACUUACACUUGCUUGCGUGCUUCCCUCUUCUCCGCGUUGAUCUAUGCAUGCAUGCCCUCGUCUUCUUGAUUAUGGAUUGAAGGCGACGCCGCACAAGAACAUGGACUGGACUGGACUGGUGGAUCCAUCUCUCCAUCGGCGAAAGAGAACAAACCCUAUGAUUCUUUUUGGAUCACUGCUUUCUGACCUCCGACUCCGAGAUCGUCUCCCUCUCUAGCUACCCGGAGUAUUCUCUCUCAUCUUAGCUUUCCCCCCCACAAAUUACAUGUUAUUUUAGUCAAGGAAAGAGUUAACCGGAAAAAUGGAGGAGAAAAAUCGACAAGUUAACGACCAGCGGCAACGAGUCCGUACGUCGAGAGUUCGAGACUCGCU